CUUCCGGUCUGAACAGUGAACUCCUCCGCAUGGACUCACGGGUUCACCUCCUUCCGGUCUGAACAGUGAACGCCUCCGCAUCGACUCACGGGUUCACCUCCUUCCGGUCUGAACAGUGAACUCCUCCGCAUGGACUCACGGGUUCACCUCCUUCCGGUCUGAACAGUGAACUCCUCCGCAUCGACUCACGGGUUCACCUCCUUCCGGUCUGAACAGUGAACUCCUCCGCAUGGACUCACGGGUUCACCUCCUUCCGGUCUGAACAGUGAACUCCGCAUCGACUCACGCGUUCACCUCCUUCCGGUCUAAAUGGUAAACUCCUCUGCAUUUUCUGUUCGGUUCUAUUUUGGUGGGGCCCACGCGUCAUCACAGAGUAUCUGGGAGCCCUGCCCUCUUGCAGAUGGGAAUGAAGGCCCAGGUGCUCUGGAGAGGUGACUCUCCUCUAGUUGUCUCGCUUCUCAGAAAGGAAACACUGGUUCUGUAAACCUGUUUGAGAAGAAAAGCUCGAGGUUUCUUGGCCUCUCUGCUUCUGGAGCCAGGGGAAAAAAUAGCCCCAGGCUGAAGACAGGAGGGACCAGAUUGCUGCUUGGUGAUGCGAUCUCACUGCAGAGGCAGCCAGGAGACCCUCCUGAGACGAAUCGGAGAGUCCAUGCUGCUUUUACACACAUCCUAGUUCUUUUAUAACUAGCCUUUUCCUAUUAACGGACAUCAUUCAAAAGCCAGUUUUAAGCAACAUAAAUAUUGAAAACAAUACUAUACUAUUUAGAAUUAAUUAUAAGUUUUGUUUUUAAAGCCUAAAUCUUUUAUUGUUGUUUGAACCCUGGGCACUGAAGCUAAUAAUGUAACUUUUCUCCCUUCUUUCUUCUUUGGCAUAGAUUUAAAGAACUGUUAGACUCAUUUAAAAUGCUAUUAGGCAUUUUAAAGAGUAAUUGUUAAAUGUGUUGUCUCUUGUGGGACUGGAAAUGUUCUGUUCUUAUCUGGCGCUGGUUACAUCCUGUUUUUCAUUUGGGAAAGUGCAUUGAGCUGGAAAUUUAUAUGUUCAAUUUCUGUAUGUAAAUUGUACUUCAGUAAAAAUUUUCAAAAAAGUGGCUGCCUUUUA
rnacentral:lncRNA from 1 species